GACGAACGCUGGCGGCGUGCUUAACACAUGCAAGUCGAACGAUGAAGCCUUAGCUUGCUUUGGUGGAUUAGUGGCGAACGGGUGAGUAACACGUGAGCAACGUGCCCAGGACUCUGGAAUAACCGCGGGAAACCGUGGCUAAUACCGGAUAGGUGCCGAGGCCGCAUGGUCUUCGGUUGGAAAGUUUUUGCGGUACUGGAUAGGCUCACGGCCUAUCAGCUUGUUGGUGGGGUAAUGGCCUACCAAGUCGACGACGGGUAGCCGGCCUGAGAGGGUGACCGGCCACACUGGGACUGCGAGACGGCGCAGACUCGUACGGGAGGCAGCAGUGGGGAAUAUUGCACAGUGGGCGCAAGCCUGAUGCAGCAACGCCGCGUGGGGGAUGACGGCCUUCGGGUUGUAAACCUCUUUUAGUAGGGAAGAAGCGCAAGUGACGGUACCUGAAGAAAAAGCACCGGCUAACUACGUG
rnacentral:rRNA from 1 species